rnacentral:ncRNA from 1 species
GUCAUGUCAGAGCGCUGUACCUAUCCGUCAAGGGCGUCAUCACGGUUGCGGGGAUAUUUACUCCUUUUUCUAAAUUUUAAAUUCUAACUUAGAUUUAUUAAGUUAAAUUNAUCAGUUAGUUAACGAAGUGAAUUGAAAUAUCUUAGUAACUUCAGGAAAAGAAAUCAAAAGAGAUUCUAUUAUUAACGUGAGCUAGAAUAGAACAGUCUAUAUAUUAAGUAAAACGGUCAAGAAACUGUUUGAAUUUAAUGGGGAACCUUCCUCAAAGGCUAAAUAUAAUACAUGAGCGAUAGCGCAAAGUAUCAUGAGAGAAA